GCCAUUCCUGUUGAAGCGCGCUCAUAUGACCUUAGCAGUUGCGAGCGCCGUAAAACCUUAUACUACUAACUAAUUCCUGUUGAAACCACUUGCCAGAGUUAGGGUUAAAAUACUUAAAAUGGUUUAAAGUAUAAAACUGUAAAAGUAUUUUAAAAUAAUGAGAUAAAAAAUUAUUUUUUUGCACUGAGUAAGCUUUUACUUUCUGUACUCUUAUUGUCGAAAUCAUGCUGCUUCCCUUUUCUUUGAAAUAAGGGUAAGGUUAUUUGAGCUAUAAAAUCUUUUGUUUAGGACCUGGUCUCUGAAUUGAAUAACUGCAGUGAUUUUAUGAUUCCCAGGUUUCAAGUUCUCCAGGGCAUCUUAUUUACUAAGUCUCAUGCGACCUCAGAUAAUGAAUGACCUGGAGUUGAAGGUCCAAGAGUACGUUUCACACGAACAGGGGGCUAUGACGGCAGGCGGAAGUGUAUGUGGCACUAAGGCUCGAUCGGGAAAAUCAAGAUUUACUUUCGCUUUUGUUACAGCCCAGAAAUUUGCCGGUGAUAGUAUGAUACAGCAGGUUUUGUGACAUGUAGGUCGUGCAUUAUAAACGCUGUGUCGCCAUGCAAAUAAAUGAAAUCAAUGUUUGUCACUGUGUUGUCACUUGUAAAAUAAAGAAAAGAAAAGAAAAGAAAA